rnacentral:rRNA from 1 species
UAGCAAUACCGGGUGGCGACCGGCGCACGGGUGAGUAACACGUAUCCAACCUGCCCUUUACUCGGGGAUAGCCUUUCGAAAGAAAGAUUAAUACCCGAUAGCAUAAUGAUUCCGCAUGGUUUCAUUAUUAAAGGAUUCCGGUAAAGGAUGGGGAUGCGUUCCAUUAGGUUGUUGGUGGGGUAACGGCCCACCAAGCCUUCGAUGGAUAGGGGUUCUGAGAGGAAGGUCCCCCACAUUGGAACUGAGACACGGUCCAA